rnacentral:rRNA from 1 species
AACGCUGGCGGCGUGCUACUAGCAUGCAUAAGAUCGAACGAGUUUGCUUUUAAGUGAAGUGCGGUGCUUGCACCAACUGAUUUACAAGAAUAAACGAGUGGCGGACGGGUGAGUAACACGUGGGUAACCUACCCUAAAGUGGGGGAUAACAUUUGGAAACAGAUGCUAAUACCGCAUAAUAUUAAAAACCACAUGGUUUCUUAAUUGAAAGACGGCGUAAGCUGUCGACUUUUGGAUGGACCCGCGGCGUAUUAGCUAGUUGGUGAGGUAACGGCUCACCAAGGCGAUGAUACGUAGCCGACCUGAGAGGGUGAUCGGCCACAUUGGGACUGAGACACGGCCCAAACUCCUACGGGAGGCAGCAGUAGGGAAUCUUCCACAAUGGACGAAAGUCUGAUGGAGCAACGCCGCGUGAGUGAAGAAGGUUCUCGGAUCGUAAAACUCUGUUAUUGGAGAAGAACGUAUUUGGUAGUAACUGGCCAGAUAGUGACGGUAUCCAAUCAGAAAGCCACGGCUAACUACGUGCCAAGGCCAGCACGCGGUAAUACAGUAGGGUGGGCAAAGCGUUGUCCCGGAUUUUAUU